rnacentral:rRNA from 1 species
GACGAACGCUGGCGGCGUGCCUAAUACAUGCAAGUCGAACGCAGUGGGGACGGGUGAGUAACACGUGGGUAACCUCCCAUCAGAGGGGAUAACACUUGGAAACAGGUGCUAAACCGAUACUGAUGGAUGGACCCGCGGUGCAUUAGCUAGUUGGUGAGGUAACGGCUCACCAAGGCCACGAUGCAUGGCCAACCUGCGAGGGUGAUCGUCCAGACGGGGACUGAGACACGGCCCAGACUCCUACGGCAGGCAGCAGUAGGGAAUCUUCGACAAUGGACGAAAGUCUGGCCGAGUCACGCCGCGUCAGUGAAGAAGGUUUUCGGAUCGUAAAACUCUGUUGUUCGAUCAGCGGUAUCUAACCAGCAAGCCACGGCUAACUACGUGCCAGCAGCCGCGGUACUAC